AAAAGUUGAUGAAAAUUUAUUUCAUUAUAAGCCUUUCGGGUCUGAAGAAUAUAAUGAUGAAAAAAAAAAACUGAUUUU